UUUUUUAUAUUUUGGAAAAUAUUAAAAAUUAAUACGAAUUUUUGGCAACAUGUUUCUGCAUGCUUCGUCGAAAUCCAUACCCGCCAUUACUUGUCGUCUUUUCUUCGAGUGGGAGUGCGGUACAGUCACAUACUAUCUUUGUUGAAAUUUUUUAGACUUUUUGUGUUGAUUUUGAAGUGAAUUUUCUUAAAAUAAGUGACUAUUUUCUCGGAUAAUUACACUGCGAUUUUUUCUACGAUAUUUCAAAGAGUCCAUGUGAAUAAGUCGUGGUUAGUUUCACCACUUACGUGUUCGAGCCAACUAUCGCCAACUAUCGAGCUGUGUACCUGCGCCAUUAUUCGUUAUCUUUUUGGUGGAGCCAAGCAUCAUCACGUUGUCUCUGGAAAGAAUCCACCACAUUUUUGGAUAUUUUAAGUCCAAGUGAAGAAGUCGCAUCUAGUUUCGCGUUCGCGCCAAAUGUCUUAUUUGUCCUGAGCUUUGCACCUGCGUCAUUCGUAUAUUUUUGGUGAAAGUGUGUACGGAAACUAAGCAUUUUCAGAGUUUCUGUGGAAAAAACAAACCACCUUUUUUGGAUAAUUUGCAUUCCAAGAUUUUCUCAUGAUGGCGGGUGACUUUGAUAUAUCUUUUAAUUCAUCGUCGAAUUCUUCAUCUUCAUCUCGUUCCCCUGCAGCAUCAACGUCAUCAUCACAAUCAGUGAUAACCAAAAAAAUCUUCUUGUUACCAUAUCUAUUCUGUAAGUCUUCUAUCUGAUCGCUUAGAGGCCUGGCCAAUCGAUUUGUUUCAAGUAAAGCUGUUCAACUCCCCAUUCCUUCACGAAAUGGAUCUUUUGCACCUAAAUUUGCAAUUGUCGAGGAAAUCACUGAAGAUGUUGAUGAUGUUGACAAGUGGGUGGAAGUUGUAUGUGAGAGUUGGUUUGAUGGUGAAUACUGUUUAUUUCCUCCGAAAAGCAAAGAAAAAUAUAUUACGACUUAUGUAAAAACAUUUCAUCAGCCAGACUCAAGUUGGGUAAAAUAUCCUGCAAAAUUAAUCAAAACAUAUGCAAGAAAAAAACUCAAUAAAUCAGUUAAGGGGGAUGAUCUGUGUACAACCGACGCAGAUGAAAGGAAAAAACCAGAAAAUCGCGAUGUCAGGAAAUCCCGAGAAGAUUUAAAUGAAGAAGAUGACAUGGCAAUCAAUCGUUCAAAGAAAACAUCUUUAAAAAGAAUUUGGCAAUACCCGGCUAGUGGUAGCGAAGAAGA